CCUACGGGAUGCUGCAGUAGGGAAUAUUGCUCAAUGGGGGCAACCCUGAAGCAGCAACGCCGCGUGGAGGAUGAAGGUUUUCGGAUUGUAAACUCCUUUUGUUAGAGAAGAUAAUGACGGUAUCUAACGAAUAAUCACCGGCUAACACCGUGCCAGCAGCCGCGGGAAUACGGAGGGUGCAAGCGUUACUCGGAGUGAUUGGGCGUGAAGAGCGCGUAGGAGGGAUAGCAAGUAAGAUGUGAAAUCCAAUGGCUUAACCCUGCAACUGCAUUUGAAACUGUUAUGCUAGAGUGUGGGAGAGGUAGGUGGAAUUGUUGGUGUAGGGGUAAAAUCCGUAGAGAUCAAGAGGAAUACUCAUUGCGAAGGCGAACUGCUAGAACAUAACUGACGCUGAUGCGCGAAAGCGUGGGGAGCAAACAGGAUUAGAUACCCGAGUAGUC
rnacentral:rRNA from 1 species